UACGGAGGGUGCGAGCGUUAUCCGGAUUCACUGGGUUUAAAGGGUGCGUAGGUGGGUUGGUAAGUCAGUGGUGAAAUCUCCGUGCUUAACAUGGAAACUGCCAUUGAUACUACUGAUCUUGAAUUUUCGGGAGGUAAGCGGAAUAUGUCAUGUAGCGGUGAAAUGCUUAGAUAUGACAUAGAACACCAAUUGCGAAGGCAGCUUACUACAGGAAUAUUGACACUGAGGCACGAAAGCGUGGGGAUCAAACAGG
rnacentral:rRNA from 1 species